rnacentral:lncRNA from 10 species
CACUGGUGCAAGUCCCAGAGUACAAAGGCUAAAGAACCUGGAAUUUGAUGUCCUAGGGCAGGAGAAGAAAAGGGGUACUGCUCUGGAAAAGAGAGAGAAAGAGAGAAAAAAAAGGAAGCAAGAAAAAGAAAAAAAGAAAAGCAAGCAAGCUGAAUGUCUUCCUUCUUCCACCUCCUUUGUUAGUCGAAGUCUUUUCUGUUGUCCAUGCUGGAGUGCAGUGGCACAAUUAUAGCUCACUGUGGUCUCAAACUCCUGAGUGUAAACAAUCCUCCUGUCUCAGCCUCCCAAGUAGCUGGGACUACA